CCUACGGGUGGCUGCAGUGGGGAAUAUUGGACAAUGGGCGAAAGCCUGAUCCAGCCAUGCCGCGUGUGUGAAGAAGGCCUUCGGGUUGUAAAGCACUUUCAGUGGGGAAGAAAGCCUUGGGGCUAAUACCCUCGAGGAAGGACAUCACCCACAGAAGAAGCACCGGCUAACUCCGUGCCAGCAGCCGCGGUAAUACGGAGGGUGCGAGCGUUAAUCGGAAUUACUGGGCGUAAAGCGCGCGUAGGCGGUCUGAUAAGCCGGUUGUGAAAGCCCCGGGCUCAACCUGGGAACGGCAGCCGGAACUGUCAGGCUAGAGUGCAGGAGAGGAAGGUAGAAUUCCCGGUGUAGCGGUGAAAUGCGUAGAGAUCGGGAGGAAUACCAGUGGCGAAGGCGGCCUUCUGGACUGACACUGACGCUGAGGUGCGAAAGCGUGGGUAGCAAACAGGAUUAGAUACCCGAGUAGUC
rnacentral:rRNA from 1 species